ACUGUGGAACUGCCUUUGAUACUGUCAGUCUAGAGUAUAGUUGAAGUUGGCGGAAUGUGUCAUGUAGCGGUGAAAUGCUUAGAUAUGACACGGAACACCGAUCGCGAAGGCAGCUAGCUAAGCUAUAACUGACGCUCAUGCACGAAAGCGUGGGGAUCAAACAGGAUUAGAUACCCUGGUAGUCCACGCUGUAAACGAUGAUUACUCGAUGUUGGCGAUACACAGUCAGCGUCUGAGCGAAAGCAAUAAGUAAUCCACCUGGGGAGUACGAUCGCAAGAUUGAAACUCAAAGGAAUUGACGGGGGCCCGCACAAGCGGAGGAGCAUGUGGUUUAAUUCGAUGAUACGCGAGGAACCUUACCUGGGCUCGAACGUAAGAUGACUGUAGGUGAAAGCUUACAUCUCUUCGGAGCAUUUUACGAGGUGCUGCAUGGUUGUCGUCAGCUCGUGCCGUGAGGUGUCGGGUUAAGUCCCAUAACGAGCGCAACCCCUACCUUUAGUUGCCAUCAGGUCAUGCUGGGGACUCUAAAGGAACUGCCUACGCAAGUAGUGAGGAAGGCGGGGAUGACGUCAAAUCAGCACGGCCCUUACGUCCAGGGCUACACACGUGCUACAAUGGCCGAUACGGAGGGCAGCUACCUGGUGACAGGAUGCAAAUCUCCAAAGUCGGUCUCAGUUCGGAUCGGAGUCUGCAACCCGACUCCGUGAAGUUGGAUUCGCUAGUAAUCGCGCAUCAGCCAUGGCGCGGUGAAUACGUUCCCGGGCCUUGUACACACCGCCCGUCAAGCCAUGGAAGCUGGGGGGACCUAAAGUCGAUAACCGCAAGGAGUCGCCUAGGGUAAAACCAGUGACUGGGGCUAAGUCGUAACAAGGUAGCCG
rnacentral:rRNA from 1 species